rnacentral:rRNA from 1 species
UACGAAGGGGGCUAGCGUUGUUCGGAAUCACUGGGCGUAAAGCGCACGUAGGCGGAUCUUUUAAGUCAGGGGUGAAAUCCCGAGGCUCAACCUCGGAACUGCCUUUGAUACUGGGGAUCUCGAGUCCGGGAGAGGUGAGUGGAACUGCGAGUGUAGAGGUGAAAUUCGUAGAUAUUCGCAAGAACACCAGUGGCGAAGGCGGCUCACUGGCCCGGUACUGACGCUGAGGUGCGAAAGCGUGGGGAGCGAACAGG